AACUUUCAACAACGGAUCUCUUGGUUCUGGCAUCGAUGAAGAACGCAGCGAAAUGCGAUACGUAAUGUGAAUUGCAGAAUUCAGUGAAUCAUCGAAUCUUUGAACGCACAUUGCGCCCGCCAGCAUUCUGGCGGGCAUGCCUGUUCGAGCGUCAUU
rnacentral:rRNA from 1 species